rnacentral:lncRNA from 1 species
GUGUAGCUCAUUCCUUAUUUAAUCAUUUCAGAUCAGGAAGACAUUGUUUCCGAGCCCGUUCCGCAGGAAGACGGCGAAGGGGACGCCUGAAGACUCCGUAGUCAUAUUUAUAGCUUUUAUUUUCGAGUUUCUCUUUUAGUUAGUUUGUUCUUUUAUACUUUGAGCACGUUUUUGGUUUUAGUGUAAGAGAUGUUUAAUCAAAAUUUUUAUUUCGCUUCCGCAUUUGACCUUUUUAAUACACAUGUUUCAUUUCAAAUUUCCGAAGUUCUGUGAGUUCUUUUUAUGCAUAA